CCUGGCACCCUCCCACUGAGGACGGGAGAUGGCUCUGGGGAAAUUCCAUUCCAUAAUUCAUUUAAGCAGGAUAAACAGAGCUCCUGCUCUGGAAGAUCCAGCCCUGAGCAAAAGGCACUUGGAAUCGACAUGGGGGGCUCGAAUGUCCCUGUGAAACAUAAACAUAAGGAGGCAGGAGACAUGAGAUGCAGCCGGCUCUGACCCCAAAGAGCCAUGGGACCUGGCCACCUGGGAGGAGCUGGAGGACAAAGGACUUCACAGAAGAAUGGAGUCCCAAAG
rnacentral:lncRNA from 1 species